AACGAACGCUGGCGGCGUGGAUAAGACAUGCAAGUCGAACGGGACAAGUAGCAAUAUUUGUCUAGUGGCGAACGGGUGCGUAACACGUGGGCAACAUGCCUGGAAGAGCGGGAUAGCCCGGGGAAACUCGGAUUAAUACCGCAUGUGACAACGGGGCGGAUUCGCCCUGUUUUCAAAGGUGGGGACCGCAAGGCCUGCCGCUUCCAGAUUGGCCCGCGUCCUAUCAGCUAGUUGGCGGGGUAACGGCCCACCAAGGCGACGACGGGUAGCUGGGCUGAGAGGACGACCAGCCACACUGGAACUGAGACACGGUCCAGACACCUACGGGUGGCAGCAGUCGAGAAUCUUUCACAAUGGGGGAAACCCUGAUGGAGCGACGCCGCGUGGAGGAUGACGGUCUUCGGAUUGUAAACUCCUGUCAUGAAAGAACAAGCGGAGCGGGUGAACAGCCCGCCGAGUUGAUAGUAUUUCAAGAGGAAGGGACGGCUAACUUCGUGCCAGCAGCCGCGGUAA
rnacentral:rRNA from 1 species